AGCAGCCGCGGUAAUUCCAGCUCCGAUAGCGUAUAUUAAAGUUGUUGCAGUUAAAAAGCUCGUAGUUGAAUUUCGGGAUCAAAGGAUCGGUCAUGCCUUGGUAUGUACUGGUUUUAUUGGUUCUCACCUUCUAAAGAACCAUAAUGUCAUUCAUUUGAUGUUAUGGGGAAUUAGGACUGUUACCUUGAAAAAAUUAGAGUGUUUAAAGCAGGCUCACGCUUGAAUACAUUAGCAUGGAAUAAUGAAAUAGGACGUUUGAUUCUAUUUUGUUGGUUUCUAGGAUCGACGUAAUGAUUAAUAGGGGUAGUUGGGGGCAUUAGUAUUCAAUUGUCAGAGGUGAAAUUCUUGGAUUUAUUGAAGACUAACUACUGCGAAAGCAUUUGCCAAGGAUGUUUUCAUUAAUCAAGAACGAAAGUUAGGGGAUCGAAGACGAUCAGAUACCGUCGUAGUCUUAAACCAUAAACUAUGCCGACUAGGGAUCGGAUGAUGUAAUUUUUUUAAUGAC
rnacentral:rRNA from 1 species